rnacentral:rRNA from 1 species
UUAAGCGACUAAGCGUACACGGUGGAUGCCCUGGCAGUCAGAGGCGAUGAAGGACGUGCUAAUCUGCGAAAAGCGUCGGUAAGGUGAUAUGAACCGUUAUAACCGGCGAUGUCCGAAUGGGGAAACCCAGUGNCACUAUCGUUAACUGAAUACAUAGGUUAACGAGGCGAACCGGGGGAACUGAAACAUCUAAGUACCCCGAGGAAAAGAAAUCAACCGAGAUUCCCCCAGUAGCGGCGAGCGAACGGGGAGCAGCCCAGAGUCUGAAUCAGCUUGUGUGUUAGUGGAACGGUCUGGAAAGUCCGACGGUACAGGGUGAUAGUCCCGUACACCAAAAUGCACAGGUUGUGAACUCGAAGAGUAGGGCGGGACACGUGGUAUCCUGUCUGAAUAUGGGGGGACCAUCCUCCAAGGCUAAAUACUCCUGACUGACCGAUAGUGAACCAGUACCGUGAGGGAAAGGCGAAAAGAACCCCGGCGAGGGGAGUGAAAAAGAACCUGAAACCGUGUACGUACAAGCAGUGGGAGCACCUUCGGGUGUGACUGCGUACCUUUUGUAUAAUGGGUCAGCGACUUAUAUUCUGUAGCAAGGUUAACCGUAUAGGGGAGCCGCAGGGAAACCGAGUCUUAACUGGGCGUUAAGUUGCAGGGUAUAGACCCGAAACCCGGUGAUCUAGCCAUGGGCAGGUUGAAGGUUGGGUAACACUAACUGGAGGACCGAACCGACUAAUGUUGAAAAAUUAGCGGAUGACUUGUGGCUGGGGGUGAAAGGCCAAUCAAACCGGGAGAUAGCUGGUUCUCCCCGAAAGCUAUUUAGGUAGCGCCUCGUGAACUCAUCUUCGGGGGUAGAGCACUGUUUCGGCUAGGGGGUCAUCCCGACUUACCAACCCGAUGCAAACUACGAAUACCGAAGAAUGUUAUCACGGGAGACACACGGCGGGUGCUAACGUCCGUCGUGAAGAGGGAAACAACCCAGACCGCCAGCUAAGGUCCCAAAGUCAUGGUUAAGUGGGAAACGAUGUGGGAAGGCACAGACAGCCAGGAUGUUGGCUUAGAAGCAGCCAUCAUUUAAAGAAAGCGUAAUAGCUCACUGGUCGAGUCGGCCUGCGCGGAAGAUGUAACGGGGCUAAACCAUGCACCGAAGCUGCGGCAGCGACACUAUGUGUUGUUGGGUAGGGGAGCGUUCUGUAAGCCUGCGAAGGUGUGCUGUGAGGCAUGCUGGAGGUAUCAGAAGUGCGAAUGCUGACAUAAGUAACGAUAAAGCGGGUGAAAAGCCCGCUCGCCGGAAGACCAAGGGUUCCUGUCCAACGUUAAUCGGGGCAGGGUGAGUCGACCCCUAAGGCGAGGCCGAAAGGCGUAGUCGAUGGGAAACAGGUUAAUAUUCCUGUACUUGGUGUUACUGCGAAGGGGGGACGGAGAAGGCUAUGUUAGCCGGGCGACGGUUGUCCCGGUUUAAGCAUGUAGGCUGGUUAUCCAGGCAAAUCCGGAUAAUCAAGGCUGAGGUGUGAUGACGAGGCACUACGGUGCUGAAGUAACAAAUGCCCUGCUUCCAGGAAAAGCCUCUAAGCAUCAGGUAACAUCAAAUCGUACCCCAAACCGACACAGGUGGUCAGGUAGAGAAUACCAAGGCGCUUGAGAGAACUCGGGUGAAGGAACUAGGCAAAAUGGUGCCGUAACUUCGGGAGAAGGCACGCUGGUGUGUAGGUGAAGUCCCUGCGGAUGGAGCUGAGACCAGUCGAAGAUACCAGCUGGCUGCAACUGUUUAUUAAAAACACAGCACUGUGCAAACACGAAAGUGGACGUAUACGGUGUGACGCCUGCCCGGUGCCGGAAGGUUAAUUGAUGGGGUUAUCCGUAAGGAGAAGCUCUUGAUCGAAGCCCCGGUAAACGGCGGCCGUAACUAUAACGGUCCUAAGGUAGCGAAAUUCCUUGUCGGGUAAGUUCCGACCUGCACGAAUGGCGUAAUGAUGGCCAGGCUGUCUCCACCCGAGACUCAGUGAAAUUGAACUCGCUGUGAAGAUGCAGUGUACCCGCGGCAAGACGGAAAGACCCCGUGAACCUUUACUAUAGCUUGACACUGAACAUUGAGCCUUGAUGUGUAGGAUAGGUGGGAGGCUUUGAAGCGUGGACGCCAGUCUGCGUGGAGCCAACCUUGAAAUACCACCCUUUAAUGUUUGAUGUUCUAACGUUGGCCCCUGACCGGGGUUGCGGACAGUGUCUGGUGGGUAGUUUGACUGGGGCGGUCUCCUCCCAAAGCGUAACGGAGGAGCACGAAGGUUAGCUAAUCCUGGUCGGACAUCAGGAGGUUAGUGCAAUGGCAUAAGCUAGCUUGACUGCGAGCGUGACGGCGCGAGCAGGUGCGAAAGCAGGUCAUAGUGAUCCGGUGGUUCUGAAUGGAAGGGCCAUCGCUCAACGGAUAAAAGGUACUCCGGGGAUAACAGGCUGAUACCGCCCAAGAGUUCAUAUCGACGGCGGUGUUUGGCACCUCGAUGUCGGCUCAUCACAUCCUGGGGCUGAAGUAGGUCCCAAGGGUAUGGCUGUUCGCCAUUUAAAGUGGUACGCGAGCUGGGUUUAGAACGUCGUGAGACAGUUCGGUCCCUAUCUGCCGUGGGCGCUGGAGAAUUGAGGGGGGCUGCUCCUAGUACGAGAGGACCGGAGUGGACGCAUCACUGGUGUUCGGGUUGUCAUGCCAAUGGCACUGCCCGGUAGCUAAAUGCGGAAGAGAUAAGUGCUGAAAGCAUCUAAGCACGAAACUUGCCCCGAGAUGAGUUCUCCCUGAGACUUUAAGUCUCCUGAAGGAACGUUAAAGACGAUGACGUUGAUAGGCCGGGUGUGUAAGCGCAGCGAUGCGUUGAGCUAACCGGUACUAAUGAACCGUGAGGCUUAACCUU